rnacentral:lncRNA from 1 species
AUGCCAGCAACUGGGACUUCCUGUGGAAUGCAAGGGCAGUGGGGCCUCCGCGAGAGAGAGAGAGAGAGAGAGAGAGAGAAGAGAGAGAUAUUAAGGAUGAAUCCCAGUGUCUGCUCUGAGCAAAUUGGAAGACGAUGGCAUCAGGGGCACUGCUCUGGGCUAUAUAGACUGUGCCUCCACUAAAGGGUCCCUGAGACCAGGUGUGGGCCCGUAUCCCUGGAGGGAGAGCCCAAGGAAUGGAGAGUACCCGACGAGCGUUAUGUAAGGAGUCGAGUGAGAAGUAAGCUGGAUGCUCUGCUUGGCUGGCAGGUACAGAAUGUGCCAGACCCAUCUGUACCAGCCUGGAUCUCUUGAGGCAUCAGCACAAUGGACCUGGCCACACCAGUUUAUUCCACACCGCUGAGGCUGGUACAGUUCUGGACAUGGACUUUGUAAAUAAAUAACUGGGCCCUAGGUCUUUGAGGAAUCACCACACUGUCUUCCACAAUGGUUGUACUAAUUUACAUUUGCUGGUGCUGUUUUCUACAUUGAAUCUGAGGGCUACUGUAUGAUGUGACCGACUCUCAGGAGAUGAAGAUCCAAUCACUCUAUCAAAGAAUAUGAGCAUUUCCGAGGCUCUUGUAAGACAUCCAGCCUCCAGAACUGUGAGUACUAUGCUGAAGAGAGCCCUCAUCAGCACCUGACCAACCUGACCAUGCUGCACCCUCAUCUUAGACGUUCAGCCUCCAGAACUGUGAAUACUAUGCUGAAGAGAGCCCUCACCAGCACCUGACCAUGCUGCACCCUCAUCUCAGAUGUCCAGCCUCCAGAACUGUAAUCCAAGAGCCAAAUCAUGAAUGAACUACCAUUCACAACUGCCACAAAAGAAUAAAAUAUGUAGGAAUACAUCUAACAGGGGAAGUGAAGGACCUUUUCGAGAAGAACUACAAACCACUGCUCAGAGAAAUCUGGGAUGACACAAACAAGUGGGAAAGCAUUCCAUGCUCAUGGAUAGGAAGAAUCAAUAUCAUGAAAAUGGCCAUAUUGCCCAAAGCGAUUUAUAGAUUCAAUGCUGUUCCCAUUAAACUACUAUUGAGAUUCUUCAUAGAAUUAGAAAAAACUUUUAAAAUUCAUAUGGGGCUGGGUGCAGCGGCUCACGCUUGUAAUCCCAGCACUUUGGAAGGCCGAGUUGGGAGGAUCACUUGAGUUCAGGGGUUCAAGACCAGCCUGGCCAACAUGGUGAAACCCCCAUCUCCACUGAAAAUACAAAAAUUAGCUGGGCAUGAUGGUUGGCAUCUGUAAUCCCAGCUACUCGGGAGACUGAGACAUGAGAAUCACUUGAACCUGGGAGGUGGAGGUUGCAGUGAGCCAGGAGCACACCACUGCACUCCAGCCUGGGUGACAGAGAGUCAGUCUCAAAAAAAAAAAAAAAAAUCAUAUGGAACUGAAAAAGAGCCUGAAUAGCCAAGACAAUCCUAAGAAAACAAACAAACAAACAAACAAACAAACCAAAGCUGGAGGCCUCUCCAAAUUAUACCACAAGACUACAGUAACUAAAAAAGCAUGGUACUGGUACAAGAACAGACACAGAGACCAAUGGAACAGAAUAGGGAACCCAGAAAUAAAACUGCACACCUACAAUCAUCUGAUCUUCAGCCAAGUCAACAAUAACAAGCAAUGGAAAAAGGAUUCCCUAUUUAAUAAACCAUGCUGGGAGAACUGGCUAGUCAUAUGGAAAAAAUGGAAACUUCUUUACAUUAUGUGCAAAAAUCACCUCAAGAUGGAUUAAAGACUUAAAUGUAAAACCCAAAACUAUAAAAACCCCAGACAAAAAUCUAGGCAAUACCAUUCAGGACAUAGGCAUGGGCAAAGACUUCAUGACAAAGAUGUCAAAAGCAAUAGCAUUUGACCCAACGAUGCCAUUACUGGGUAUAUACCCAAAGGAAUACAAAUCAUUCUAUUAUAAAGAUACAUGCACAUGUAUGUUCACUGCAGCACUAUUCACAAUAGCAAAGACAUGGAAUCAACUUAAAUGCCCGUCAAUAAUAGAUGGGAUAAAGAAAAUGUGGUACAUAUACACCAUGGAAUACUAUGCAGACAUAAAAAGGAAUGAGAUCAUGUCGUUUGCAGGGACAUGGAUGGAGCUAGAAGCCAUUAUCCUCAGAAAACUAACACAGGAACAGAAAACCAAAUACCACAUGUUCUCACUUAUAAGUGGGAGCUGAAUGAUGAGAACACAUGGACACGUGGUGCGGGAACAAUACACCUGGGGCCUGUUGGAGGGUGGGGGCUGGGAGGAGGGAGAGCAUCAAGAAUAGCUAAUGAGGCCAGGCACAGUGGCUCACGCCUGUAAUCCUAGCAUUUUGGGAGGCUGAGGCGGGCAGAUCAUUUGAGGUCAGGAGUUUGAGACCAGCCUGGCCAAUAUGGUGAAACCCCGUCUCUAUUAAAAAUACAAAAAUAUUAGCCAGGCAUGGUGGCAAUGCCCGUAGUCCCUGCAACUUGGGAGGCUGAGGCAGGAGAAUCGUUUGAACCUGGGAGGUGGAGUUUGCAGUGAGCCAAGAUCGCGCCACUGCACUCCAGCCUGGGCGACAGAGUGAGGCUCCAUUAAAAAAAAAAAAAAAAAAAGAAGAGCAAAUGAAUGCUGGGCAUAAUAUCUAGAUGAUGGGAUGAUCUGUGCAGCAAACCACUAUGGCACAUGUUUACCUAUGUAACAAACCUGCACAUCCUCCACAUGUACCCCUGAACUUAAGAGUUGGAAAUCAAAAAGAAAAAAGGUAUUAACUCAAAAUAAAAACAGUGUGUACUAUUUUUCUAAUCAGCAAAUGUUAUUUUAUUUUUUACUAUUAUUUUUAGAGUCGAUAUCUUGCUCUGUCACACAGUCUGGAGUGCAGUGGCAUGAUUAGCUUUGAAUUCCUGUUCAAGUGAUCCUCCCACCUCAGUCUCCAGAGUAGCUAGGGCUACAGGCAGUGCUGCCACACCUGGAUAAUUUUUAAAUUUUUUAUAGAGUUGGGGUCUUGCUAUGUUGCCCAGGCUUGUCUCAGACUCCUGGCCUUAAGUGAUCCUCCUGCCUCUGUCUUCUGAGUCGCUGGAUUACAGGUAUGAGCCACCAUGCUCAGCAGAAAAUUAAAUUUUUUUUUAACAAGUCAUUAGUUCCUGGGAAUUCUAUUUCACUUCCAAAUCCACCUCAUUUUGCAGUGCCCUGUUCUUAGUAGUCCUGGUUUAGGAAGAGUCGUGUUUCACAUGAUCAAGGUAGCCAACACAAUGAAAGUUGAGUUCACAGAGUAUUUAUUUAUUUUGGUCCCUCACAGAGUAUCUAUUUAUUUUUGGUCCCUCACAGAGUAUUUGUUUAUUUUUGUUCCCUCAAAUAAUUCAGCACAAUUAAAUUCAGCAAAUAUUUAUUGAACACUUGGAGAUGAUGAUGGAAAAUUAUGUUCACAUGGUGCCAUUUGGUACAACGGAAAUGGCAUGAGAUUUGGACCAAACCAGAAUUGUCUUAAAUCCUGGCUUUGUUAGUUUUAGGUAUGUCAUCUUGAGCAGUUCACUUCACUUUUUGAGCCACAAUUUCUCUUCCUUACAUAAAGAUAUUUAUAAAUACCCCACAGGUUGUUAUAAUAAAGGUUGAAGAUGCUUGGCACAUAAGCAAAAAUUAUGAAUAAAUAUGUAUUAAAAUAUAAAAUAACUACAAAAUAAAAUAAAAAUAUUGUUUUUCUCACCACAUGUCAGUAUCUUUACACAUAUAAUCUAAUUUUAUCCUUACAGGAUUGCUAGCCUGGUGUG